rnacentral:rRNA from 1 species
GAUGAACGCUGGCGGCGUGCCUAAUACAUGCAAGUCGAGCGAACAGACGAGGAGCUUGCUCCUCUGACGUUAGCGGCGGACGGGUGAGUAACAUGUGGAUAACCUACCUAUAAGACUGGGAUAACUUCGGGAAACCGGAGCUAAUACCGGAUAAUAUAUUGAACCGCAUGGUUCAAUAGUGAAAGACGGUUUUGCUGUCACUUAUAGAUGGAUCCGCGCCGCAUUAGCUAGUUGGUAAGGUAACGGCUUACCAAGGCAACGAUUCGUAGCCGACCUGAGAGGAUGAUCGGCCACACUGGAACUGAGACACGGUCCAGACUCCUACGGGAGGCAGCAGUAGGGAAUCUUCCGCAAUGGGCGAAAGCCUGACGGAGCAACGCCGCGUGAGUGAUGAAGGUCUUCGGAUCGUAAAACUCUGUUAUUAGGAAAGAACAAAUGUGUAAGUAACUAUGCACGUCUUGACGGUACCUAAUCAGAAAGCCACGGCUAACUACGUG